AGCUAUAUUAGAUUGAAACACCGGUUCUCGUCCGAUCAACGAAGUUCAGCAACGUCGAGCCUGGUCAAUACCUACAUGAGUGACCACUUAGGAGUAUCAUGUGCCGUAAG